CCUAGGGGUGGCAGCAGUGGGGAAUAUUGGACAAUGGGCGAAAGCCUGAUCCAGCCAUGCCGCGUGUGUGAAGAAGGCCUUCGGGUUGUAAAGCACUGUCAGUGGGGAAGAAAGCCUUGGGGCUAAUACCCUCGAGGAAGGACAUCACCCACAGAAGAAGCACCGGCUAACUCCGUGCCAGCAGCCGCGGUAAUACGGAGGGUGCGAGCGUUAAUCGGAAUUACUGGGCGUAAAGCGCGCGUAGGCGGUCUGAUAAGCCGGUUGUGAAAGCCCCGGGCUCAACCUGGGAACGGCAUCCGGAACUGUCAGGCUAGAGUGCAGGAGAGGAAGGUAGAAUUCCCGGUGUAGCGGUGAAAUGCGUAGAGAUCGGGAGGAAUACCAGUGGCGAAGGCGGCCUUCUGGACUGACACUGACGCUGAGGUGCGAAAGCGUGGGUAGCAAACAGGAUUAGAUACCCUAGUAGUC
rnacentral:rRNA from 1 species